rnacentral:sRNA from 1 species
UAUUUACAAGGUUUUACCGAAGACAGUAGGGGCGGAUAUCGCAUAAUUCCUACCGAGGCGAAAUAAAGUUAUAUAUAAUAAUUUUAUUUAUAUCCUCGUGGUCUUCACGAGGAUUUUUAUAUU